rnacentral:rRNA from 1 species
GCGGCGUGGAUCAGGCAUGCAAGUCGAACGAUCCUGCAAAGGAAAGUGGCAAAAGGGUGAGGAACACGUGGAUAACCUACCCUGAACUUGGGGAUAACACCGCGAAAGCGGUGCUAAUACCGAAUACGGUGCUUCAGUACUUCUGGGGCAUUAAAGGUGGCUUCCUAUCGCGGAGGCUGUCGGUUCUGGAUGGGUCUGCGUCCUAUUAGCUAGUUGGUAGGGUAAAAGCCUACCAAGGCAAUGAUGGGUACCCGGGCUGAGAGGCUGGUCGGGCACACAGGGACUGAGACACUGCCCUGACUCCUACGGGAGGCUGCAGUCGAGAAUCUUUCGCAAUGGGGGAAACCCUGACGACGCGACGCCGCGUGAGUGAUGAAGGCCUUCGGGUUGUAAAGCUCUGUCACUGGGGAGGAAAAACACAGAAAUUAAUAUCUUUUGUGUUUGACAUUACCUGGAGAGGAAGCCCCGGCUAACUCCGUGCCAGCAGCCGCGGUAAUACGGGGGGGGCAAGCGUUGUUCGGAUUUACUGGGCGUAAAGGGUGCGCAGGCGGAUGGGAAAGUGGAUUGUGAAAUCCUAUAGCUCAACUAUAGAAUUGCUUUUCAAACUACCUGUCUGGAGUAUGGGAGAAGUAAGUGGAAUUCUCAGUGUAGCGGUGAAAUGCGUAGAUAUUGAGAAGAACACCCGCGGUGAAGACGGCUUACUAGACCAAUACUGACGCUCAUGCACGAAGGCUAGGGGAGCAAACAGGAUUAGAUACCCUGGUAGUCCUAGCAGUAAACGAUGUCAACUUGGUGUGGGGAGGGUUACCCUUCCUGUGUCGUAGCUAACGCGUUAAGUUGACCGCCUGGGGAGUACGGCCGCAAGGUUAAAACUCAAAGAAAUUGACGGGGGCCCGCACAAGCGGUGGAGCAUGUGGUUCAAUUCGAAGCAACGCGAAGAACCUUACCUGGGCUUGACAUGUACUUGACCGGAUGUGAAAGCAUCCUUCCCUUCGGGGCGGGUACACAGGUGUUGCAUGGCUGUCGUCAGCUCGUGUCGUGAGAUGUUGGGUUAAGUCCCGCAGCGAGCGCAACCCCUGCUUCUAGUUACCAGCGAGUAAUGUCGGGGACUCUAGAGGGACUGCCGGUGAUAAACCGGAGGAAGGUGGGGAUGACGUCAAGUCAUUAUGGCCCUUACGUCCAGGGCUACACACGUGCUACAAUGGCCGGUACAGUGGGAAGCAAUACCGCGAGGUGGAGCUAAUCCUUGAAAACCGGCCCCAGUUCGGAUUGGAGUCUGCAACUCGACUCCAUGAAGUCGGAAUCGCUAGUAAUGGCAGAUCAGCAACGCUGCCGUGAAUACGUUCCCGGGCCUUGUACACACCGCCCGUCACAUCACGAAAGUUGAUCCCCCCCGAAGUCGUUGUACGAACCCCUUACGGGGAAGAAGACGCCCAAGGUGGGGUUGAUGAUUGGGAUGAAGUCGUAACAAGGCA